rnacentral:tRNA from 1 species
AUGUUUAUAGUAUAAAUUGUAUAGUUGCCUUCCAAGCAAUAGGUCUAUUAAAAUAAUAGUAAACAUA